rnacentral:rRNA from 1 species
GAUGAACGCUGGCGGUGUGCCUAAUACAUGCAAGUCGAGCGAAUGACGAGGAGCUUGCUCCUCUGAUUUAGCGGCGGACGGGUGAGUAACACGUGGGUAACCUGCCUGUAAGACGGGGAUAACUCCGGGAAACCGGAGCUGAUACCGGAUGAUAACGAGAAGCGCCUGCUUCUUUUUUGAAAGUCGGUUUCGGCUGACGCUUACAGAUGGGCCCGCGGCGCAUUAGCUUGUUGGUGAGGUAACGGCUCACCAAGGCUACGAUGCGUAGCCGACCUGAGAGGGUGAUCGGCCACACUGGGACUGAGACACGGCCCAGACUCCUACGGGAGGCAGCAGUAGGGAAUCUUCGGCAAUGGACGAAAGUCUGACCGAGCAACGCCGCGUGAGCGAUGAAGGCCUUCGGGUCGUAAAGCUCUGUUGUCAGAGAAGAACAAGUACCGGAGUAACUGCCGGUACCUUGACGGUACCUGACCAGAAAGCCACGGCUAACUACGUGCCAGCAGCCGCGGUAAGAC